UUGGUUUAAAUCAUUGUUGAUCUAAACUUUGAAAAUUGAACUCACACAAAGUGGUGGGACAUGAAUUGAUUUCAUAUAA
rnacentral:pre_miRNA from 1 species